AUCCAUUGUCUUGGCACUCGUUCAGCUUAUCUAACUUCAGGUUCGUCCAUCAGCACCAUCUUAUGGUCAACUCAGUUCUGGUUCUCCGCAUCACGUGGUUAAUUCACGUACCUGAAUGAAAUGCAUUAUGCACAUGAAUGCAUAUAGACAGGAAUAUUGAAAACCUAAAUAGUGCUCGCGAUAGCGAAUUAAACACCUAGCGGCGAGGCGUUUAACAAUUUCAUACGGAGACACUAAUUAUCGACAUACGACUAAGCGCGAUAAUCACACUUCUCUAAAUUAAACGAACCUAACGCAAACAUCACGAAACAACAAACUAUACACAUUUAAUACAAUUAGCCUAAAAUAACUUAUCAGUUAAUUAAUUAAAUUCUAAACUUAGUGGUCUAAAGAAUUUAAAUCUAGAACAAGAAUAAAAGCACAUCACUUUUUAGACCACGCGACUGGAUUAAAUUACAUACCACUCUAAGCUAUCAUAUAUAGCCUACCAUUAAUUUUAUCAAACAAUUAGAAUUCAUCAUAAGUAAUACUAAUAAUAUUAUUGUUUAGACAUUUUAAAAUACUAAAUUUAAACUUCAUUCACUAAUUUACCGUACGUCACAUAAUUAACAUCUCAAACCUACCCAACGUGACUACUCCAAAAUCGUGAAAAUAAUCACAUCGCAUUCAUUGAACUAAUUCAAUAAUUAAGCUAACGGAAAUAUGGAUCAGCUUACCCACGAUUAAAUUUGACGCGCUAUCCGCGAACACAGCAAGGAUUCUGGUUCAGCCCUUGUGUCGAGUACUUGGUGAACAUCACACUGCUAGCUCCGUCUUCAACCGACUCUUGGGAUUUCUUGAUGACACGUGGAAUGACGACGACCUUCGAUUGAAGUCUUCGACCAAGCACUUGAUAAGCGAUGCACACGGACCUCGCUUAUUUUUUCCUAACGUCCGGGAUUCGGGGUUCGACGAGGUUGAGCAGGGAAGAACGGGGUUUGAAAGGCUCGACGACGAUACGGGAGGGUGACGUAUAUAGAGCUGCAGGUCUCGCGAGCUGACGCAAGUGACGGAGACGGCCGCGUAUGGCAGCAGUGCAUCGACAAUCUAUGGGUUUGGGUGUUUUAUCGAAUAGGCGGGAUGUGAGGCACGACG
rnacentral:lncRNA from 1 species